rnacentral:rRNA from 1 species
ACUCUGGUAUUGAUUGGUGCUUGCAUCAUGAUUUACAUUUGAGUGAGUGGCGAACUGGUGAGUAACACGUGGGAAACCUGCCCAGAAGCGGGGGAUAACACCUGGAAACAGAUGCUAAUACCGCAUAACAACUUGGACCGCAUGGUCCGAGCUUGAAAGAUGGCUUCGGCUAUCACUUUUGGAUGGUCCCGCGGCGUAUUAGCUAGAUGGUGGGGUAACGGCUCACCAUGGCAAUGAUACGUAGCCGACCUGAGAGGGUAAUCGGCCACAUUGGGACUGAGACACGGCCCAAACUCCUACGGGAGGCAGCAGUAGGGAAUCUUCCACAAUGGACGAAAGUCUGAUGGAGCAACGCCGCGUGAGUGAAGAAGGGUUUCGGCUCGUAAAACUCUGUUGUUAAAGAAGAACAUAUCUGAGAGUAACUGUUCAGGUAUUGACGGUAUUUAACCAGAAAGCCACGGCUAACUACGUGCCAGCAGCCGCGGUAAUACGUAGGUGGCAAGCGUUGUCCGGAUUUAUUGGGCGUAAAGCGAGCGCAGGCGGUUUUUUAAGUCUGAUGUGAAAGCCUUCGGCUCAACCGAAGAAGUGCAUCGGAAACUGGGAAACUUGAGUGCAGAAGAGGACAGUGGAACUCCAUGUGUAGCGGUGAAAUGCGUAGAUAUAUGGAAGAACACCAGUGGCGAAGGCGGCUGUCUGGUCUGUAACUGACGCUGAGGCUCGAAAGUAUGGGUAGCAAACAGGAUUAGAUACCCUGGUAGUCCAUACCGUAAACGAUGAAUGCUAAGUGUUGGAGGGUUUCCGCCCUUCAGUGCUGCAGCUAACGCAUUAAGCAUUCCGCCUGGGGAGUACGGCCGCAAGGCUGAAACUCAAAGGAAUUGACGGGGGCCCGCACAAGCGGUGGAGCAUGUGGUUUAAUUCGAAGCUACGCGAAGAACCUUACCAGGUCUUGACAUACUAUGCAAAUCUAAGAGAUUAGACGUUCCCUUCGGGGACAUGGAUACAGGUGGUGCAUGGUUGUCGUCAGCUCGUGUCGUGAGAUGUUGGGUUAAGUCCCGCAACGAGCGCAACCCUUAUUAUCAGUUGCCAGCAUUAAGUUGGGCACUCUGGUGAGACUGCCGGUGACAAACCGGAGGAAGGUGGGGAUGACGUCAAAUCAUCAUGCCCCUUAUGACCUGGGCUACACACGUGCUACAAUGGAUGGUACAACGAGUUGCGAACUCGCGAGAGUAAGCUAAUCUCUUAAAGCCAUUCUCAGUUCGGAUUGUAGGCUGCAACUCGCCUACAUGAAGUCGGAAUCGCUAGUAAUCGCGGAUCAGCAUGCCGCGGUGAAUACGUUCCCGGGCCUUGUACACACCGCCCGUCACACCAUGAGAGUUUGUAACACCCAAAGUCGGUGGGGUAACCUUUAGAA